GCGUGUUUCAAUCGCCCUGUCAAACCUCCAGUCGACCGGUCUAAUCUAGGCCACUACACAAGGAAGUGUAUCCGGGUGUGCGGGUAGAACUAUGUGGACACUCACGAGUGUCAUGUAGAGGGGAAGGUCCGGGUUAGAUCCGGCAAGAAGCCAACCGUGACCGGUUCAAUGUUCGUCACAUGCUGUACUUCAUUACACUGUUAGCGCCAGUCAAGCAAGACUCUCGGAUGUUUCUGGAGCGUCGCCAUAUACGUCACGACAAACAACACUCUGAAAGCGAAACUAUUCCUAUAAAACCUCUGUUUACUGUAAAUAAAGGCGAAAAAGGUCAUGUUGUAGAAUAGAAGAGAUUAUCAAAGCUUUGAAUCAAUCUAUUCAACGUAUUCUAAAACUAUUUGUCUUAACAUAACGCCAUAGUAUAUAAGCAUGUAUGAUCUACAUUAUGUCGACAUGUAUUAUGGGCUGGAGGCCUGAUUACUGAAUAAAUCUGUCUGUCUGUCUGUCUGAA